rnacentral:rRNA from 1 species
GAACCGACUAAUGUUGAAAAAUUAGCGGAUGACUUGUGGCUGGGGGUGAAAGGCCAAUCAAACCGGGAGAUAGCUGGUUCUCCCCGAAAGCUAUUUAGGUAGCGCCUCGUGAAUUCAUCUCCGGGGGUAGAGCACUGUUUCGGCAAGGGGGUCAUCCCGACUUACCAACCCGAUGCAAACUGCGAAUACCGGAGAAUGUUAUCACGGGAGACACACGGCGGGUGCUAACGUCCGUCGUGAAGAGGGAAACAACCCAGACCGCCAGCUAAGGUCCCAAAGUCAUGGUUAAGUGGGAAACGAUGUGGGAAGGCCCAGACAGCCAGGAUGUUGGCUUAGAAGCAGCCAUCAUUUAAAGAAAGCGUAAUAGCUCACUGGUCGAGUCGGCCUGCGCGGAAGAUGUAACGGGGCUAAACCAUGCACCGAAGCUGCGGCAGCGACACUAUGUGUUGUUGGGUAGGGGAGCGUUCUGUAAGCCUGUGAAGGUGGCCUGUGAGGGUUGCUGGAGGUAUCAGAAGUGCGAAUGCUGACAUAAGUAACGAUAAAGCGGGUGAAAAGCCCGCUCGCCGGAAGACCAAGGGUUCCUGUCCAACGUUAAUCGGGGCAGGGUGAGUCGACCCCUAAGGCGAGGCCGAAAGGCGUAGUCGAUGGGAAACAGGUUAAUAUUCCUGUACUUGGUGUUACUGCGAAGGGGGGACGGAGAAGGCUAUGUUGGCCGGGCGACGGUUGUCCCGGUUUAAGCGUGUAGGCUGGUUUUCCAGGCAAAUCCGGAAAACCAAGGCUGAGGCGUGAUGACGAGGCACUACGGUGCUGAAGCGACAAAUGCCCUGCUUCCAGGAAAAGCCUCUAAGCAUCAGGUAACAUCAAAUCGUACCCCAAACCGACACAGGUGGUCAGGUAGAGAAUACCAAGGCGCUUGAGAGAACUCGGGUGAAGGAACUAGGCAAAAUGGUGCCGUAACUUCGGGAGAAGGCACGCUGAUAUGUAGGUGAAGCGACUUGCUCGUGGAGCUGAAAUCAGUCGAAGAUACCAGCUGGCUGCAACUGUUUAUUAAAAACACAGCACUGUGCAAACACGAAAGUGGACGUAUACGGUGUGACGCCUGCCCGGUGCCGGAAGGUUAAUUGAUGGGGUUAGCGGUAACGCGAAGCUCUUGAUCGAAGCCCCGGUAAACGGCGGCCGUAACUAUAACGGUCCUAAGGUAGCGAAAUUCCUUGUCGGGUAAGUUCCGACCUGCACGAAUGGCGUAAUGAUGGCCAGGCUGUCUCCACCCGAGACUCAGUGAAAUUGAACUCGCUGUGAAGAUGCAGUGUACCCGCGGCAAGACGGAAAGACCCCGUGAACCUUUACUAUAGCUUGACACUGAACAUUGAGCCUUGAUGUGUAGGAUAGGUGGGAGGCUUUGAAGUGUGGACGCCAGUCUGCAUGGAGCCGACCUUGAAAUACCACCCUUUAAUGUUUGAUGUUCUAACGUUGGCCCGUAAUCCGGGUUGCGGACAGUGUCUGGUGGGUAGUUUGACUGGGGCGGUCUCCUCCUAAAGAGUAACGGAGGAGCACGAAGGUUGGCUAAUCCUGGUCGGACAUCAGGAGGUUAGUGCAAUGGCAUAAGCCAGCUUGACUGCGAGCGUGACGGCGCGAGCAGGUGCGAAAGCAGGUCAUAGUGAUCCGGUGGUUCUGAAUGGAAGGGCCAUCGCUCAACGGAUAAAAGGUACUCCGGGGAUAACAGGCUGAUACCGCCCAAGAGUUCAUAUCGACGGCGGUGUUUGGCACCUCGAUGUCGGCUCAUCACAUCCUGGGGCUGAAGUAGGUCCCAAGGGUAUGGCUGUUCGCCAUUUAAAGUGGUACGCGAGCUGGGUUUAGAACGUCGUGAGACAGUUCGGUCCCUAUCUGCCGUGGGCGCUGGAGAACUGAGGGGGGCUGCUCCUAGUACGAGAGGACCGGAGUGGACGCAUCACUGGUGUUCGGGUUGUCAUGCCAAUGGCACUGCCCGGUAGCUAAAUGCGGAAGAGAUAAGUGCUGAAAGCAUCUAAGCACGAAACUUGCCCCGAGAUG